rnacentral:rRNA from 1 species
UACGAAGGGGGCUAGCGUUGUUCGGAAUCACUGGGCGUAAAGGGCGCGUAGGCGGCCGAUCAAGUCGGGGGUGAAAGCCUGUGGCUCAACCACAGAAUUGCCUUCGAUACUGUUUGGCUUGAGACCGGAAGAGGUUAGUGGAACUGCGAGUGUAGAGGUGAAAUUCGUAGAUAUACGCAAGAACACCAGUGGCGAAGGCGGCUGACUGGUCCGGUUCUGACGCUGAGGCGCGAAAGCGUGGGGAGCAAACAGG